rnacentral:rRNA from 1 species
AGUGAACGCUGGCGGUAGGCCUAACACAUGCAAGUCGAACGGCAGCACAGGAGAGCUUGCUCCUUGGGUGGCGAGUGGCGGACGGGUGAGGAAUACAUCGGAAUCUACUCUGUCGUGGGGGAUAACGUAGGGAAACUUACGCUAAUACCGCAUACGACCUACGGGUGAAAGCAGGGGAUCUUCGGACCUUGCGCGAUUGAAUGAGCCGAUGUCGGAUUAGCUAGUUGGCGGGGUAAAGGCCCACCAAGGCGACGAUCCGUAGCUGGUCUGAGAGGAUGAUAAGCCACACUGGAACUGAGACACGGUCCAGACUCCUACGGGAGGCAGCAGUGGGGAAUAUUGGACAAUGGGCGCAAGCCUGAUCCAGCCAUACCGCGUGGGUGAAGAAGGCCUUCGGGUUGUAAAGCCCUUUUGUUGGGAAAGAAAUCCAUCUGGUUAAUACCCGGGUGGGAUGACGGUACCCAAAGAAUAAGCACCGGCUAACUUCGUGCCAGCCGCCGCGGUAA